rnacentral:rRNA from 1 species
GUGCCAGCAGCCGCGGUAAUACGAAGGGUGCUAGCGUUGCUCGGAAUUACUGGGCGUAAAGCGCACGUAGGCGGAUCUUUAAGUCAGGGGUGAAAUCCCGGAGCUCAACUCCGGAACUGCCUUUGAUACUGGGGAUCUUGAGUUCGAGAGAGGUGAGUGGAACUGCGAGUGUAGGGGUGAAAUUCGUAGAUAUUCGCAAGAACACCAGUGGCGAAGGCGGCCAACUAGUCCGGAACUGACGCUGAGGUGCGAAAGCGUGGGGAGCAAACAGGAUUAGAUACCCUAGUAGUCC